rnacentral:lncRNA from 1 species
GACACAUCGCGAAAACGUCUGGUCGACUUGAGUCGCGACUUCAAGAGGAACACGCCAGAGGUGAGUCGUGUCAAAGAUGUUACUUGCCAUUUCGCAUGUCAUUGCUCCUGUGGUCAUUCCACAGAGAAUUGUAUCUAGUAUAUAUAUAUAUAUUAUGCUGGACAAUCGGUCUCCAGUUUCUUUUCUGUUUCUCGACUAUCAAAGAGAAUCAACGACGUGGAAGUAAUAAUAGGGAAAGGGGGGAGCAUGGAAUGUUUUUGGCUACGUACGCAUCGAGUAGCAAAAUGACGACGACGCGCUCUUAUUCAUCGCCUUUUCCUCUGGUAGGGAGUUGAUCUUUUGUUUAUAUCCACACCCCCAGUUGGUGUUUGGUAGCGAAUGCCAUGUACUAGAAAAACAGUUAAUUACCAACGUGUAACAAUUACCACAUUUCUGUGCCCCAUCAUAACGGAAUCGCUUCUGCCGAAGGAUAAUGGAAUCAGUGGUCUGUGAUGUGGUUAAUAUUCGUAAGUUUUGCAUUCGUUUCUUCCCUCCCCUCGGCUCUGCUUCCCCAUUCUAUACACAUUGACCAUUCUUUUUAGAUCACGUGUCGCCAUUACCAGGCUGUUGGAAGAGAGAGAGGGGGGUAGACACAAGAGAUUUUUCACACUUUUCUGAAUGCUCGGUAAUCGUUGAUGGGUCGAGUCUAUUGUUUUCUCGCCACCGGAAAUACGGAACUGGUCGAGGGGAGGGUAUUAAGUGAGAAGGUAGAGGGAGGAAAAAAAAGGACACCCAGUCGCGUUGAAACAAAAGUCGUUCAGGAAAUUCCUUUAUUGUUGUCGACGAAACUUCCGUCAUUGUUGGAUAGUUUUAUUAAUUUCUCUCACUGUUGGAAAUUAAAAACGCUGGCGCCCAGGACGGGUCGAAAGAUAGGUUACAAUAAAAGCUCGGCUAGAUCACGUGAUUCGAAACGGGAAUAGAUAAAAUAUGAUGGUUUUUUAAAACACUCGUUCACAAUAUAGAUUCUCCGAGACAAUGUACUGUAAUAUUUACCAAUGCACUCGGAUGUGGCACCAUCCAGUUCAUCAUUUUUCUCGAUUCUUUAGAAUACGCUUGUUAUUUUUUUUUCCUCUUGUUUCUUCCUCUUCUGGCUCCCUUCUUUUCCUUUCUUCGACUCACUUCGACAGCUCAUAAAAGCGACAAAAUGCCAUCCACAGAUGGGACGCUUGGUGAUCGGGCUUACAGUUUCUUAUCAUUAUAGAAGUAAAGGAAUCGACGAUCUGUCGAUAGGCAGUUUCCCUUCAGUCAUUCGGAAGGGGAUUUAUGGUUAUAGCUCGGUGGUGGGUUCGUUCCUAAGAUUCAGCGAUCCUAUCACAUCCUAAUAACAUUUUCCCCUGCACUGUUUAUAUUGAUGAGGCCAUAUUUCUGUACAAAAGGGGACUUUCUCCGGUCCGUCAUUGUCCAUUACAUUUAUGGAUCAGUUUAGGAGGAGAAGGAAGAAUGAUGUUGCUGUGUAAUAUAGUCGGAGAUGAAAGAGGGAGGAUUGACGAGAUAAGGUAGGCAUUUCAACCAAAAUACGGCUUGUAACACCGGAUAUACCAGCUAGCUUCCUGUGGUGCCUCACCUGACCGCUACCACCGCCAACCCCUUCCUCUUUUCUCACUCUUUUGCCUUUUAAUAUACUCGCCGCUCAGUAUGAGGUUUGUCAAUAUGUUACCUGAAGCAUCGGUUGUGCGUCUUUAAUUGUCUUCUAUGACUACUUAAAAGAAAAAAGGAAAAAAGAUCGAUUCUGUCAACAACGUCUGCUUUUCAUUUGUUUCCUGUACUGACGAUACUCGACCACAGUAAAGUAUCAGAACCCCCUCCGGACCACCAGUUUUAUGAUAUUUAUAUUAGCAUAAUAUGAAACGAAUAAGCAUUAUCCCCCCAACAGUCUUUAAAAUAAAAACUGGUAGAGCGUUUUUGAUUUAUUCUCCAAAAAUAUCCACCGAAACGCGAUCCAGUAAUAAAAUUAUGGACGCUACAUAUUUCCGAAUUGGUCCUACGAAAAUUUAUCACGUCGGUGAGAAAAUUUAGUGCAGUUUCUGCUGGCCCAAAAAUAUAUAUAUAUAUAUACGGAGUUUUUCGCGAAUCACGAAGAUUUGC